GAUGAAGAACGCAGCGAAAUGCGAUAAGUAGUGUGAAUUGCAGAAUUCAGUGAAUCAUCGAAUCUUUGAACGCACAUUGCACCUCUCGGUAUUCCGGGAGGUAUGCCUGUUCGAGCGUCAUUUGUACCCUCAAGCUCUGCUUGGUGUUGGGUGUUUGUUCCGCCUCUGUGUGUGAACUCGCCUCAAAACAAUUGGCAGCCGGCGUACUUGUUUCGGUGCGCAGCACAUUUUGCGAUCCAGAUCAACGUACAGCGGCAUCCAAGAAGCCUUAUUUAACGCUCUUGACCUCGGAUCAGGUAGGGAUACCCGCUGAACUUAAGCAUAUCAAUAAGCGGAGGA
rnacentral:misc_RNA from 1 species